rnacentral:lncRNA from 1 species
GAAAAAAAAAAAAAAAAGACAAGAUUUCAACAAAAGUCCACCUAAUUCCUUAUAUAAUCCUUCAUAAUUAUGCAGAUCCCAUUAUAUUGACUUAUCCUUUUACAUGACUAGCUCCCUCUCUAAAUGGGGAGAUCUUAGAGGGCAGAGGCUGGGUCUUAUUGAUUUAUGGAUUCUCAAUGCAUGACCCAAUGCUUGGUGCAUAGUGAGUGAUGGGUUGAUGGAUAAUUACAAGUAACUGAACGUUGUCUAACUUCUCCAUGGGUGGGAAAUGGGAGAGAAUAAGGGAAGAAAUUCAGUCCUGGAGAAGCUUUCAGUAGUCUCAUAGGAAACAUCUGUAGGUCUAAAGGGGAAAACCAGUGUCUGCAAUUGACUAGAAUGCACUGCUAGGGCAGGGACUGCUGGGGCAGGGAAACUACUGGGGAAGGGGCUGCUAGGUGCUAUUGUUAUUGAUAAUAAUAAAUGGCAUUUACCAAAACAAAAACUAAUAUGUUCCUGAAUCUGCGCUAAGUGCCUUUAUUUAUGUGACCUUAUAUAAUUCCCACAAGAACUCCAUGUAGUUCUUGAAGUUCAUGACUAAUAAUGAACUAUGACUGUGCCCUUUAUAUAGAUUGGAAAAUUGAAGCUGGAAAGUGAAGGAGCCUUUGAAGAGCAGAAGCAGAAGGCUUCCAGUUCAGAUCUGUCUCUCUGCAGAGCUCUCCUUUGUUCUAGCCAGUUUCCAUCUUCUUGGUGUUGCUAAGACAAGCUGUUACUAAGAGGAGGCUAUCCUGACUGACGGCUCAUGCUGGUUUGAGGGUCCUUCUCUUAUUCUGCAGGAAAAGAUACAGAAACAAUGGGAAACACCCCUACAGAGCUCGAGCUUGAGGAUGUGAGCAUCGAUGAGCUUUCCUUUUCUUGGCAAGGGGUUUGGUCUUCAGCUAAAUGUGUGUUUUUGCUGAUUUUAGGGGGAUUCUAAAGCAGCACUGGUUCAUCUAGCUGGAAGUAGCCUCAGCCAAGGCCAUGCUGCUGCAAAAAGUCAAUCCUGGAGCUCAUUUGCUCUUCACUUGACAUAAGUGCUUCCUUUGGUAUUAAUUUUUUUUUUUUUUGCACCAGUGAAGGUUCUUACUUGAAACUGAUUUAACAUAUUAAGGAAAGGGAUCAAUUGAAAGAAUGUUGGGUAGCUCACAGAUGACUGGGAAGUCUGCUUUGGAUGCCUGCUGGAACAAUGGAGGUUGAGAAACAGCUAGGACCCCAGCUGAAAUCAUGCCUGUCUGGUGGAGCAUUAACAUGCUUCCAGAAGUCAAAACUAUAUAAAGGAUAUACUCCGAGAAGUAUUCCUCCCUUCUGUACCCACUCCAUCUUGUUCCUCCUAGCCAGCUCUUGAAGAGUCGGAAAUUCACUCUAAACAGGAGAAGCAGCAAUGAGAACUUCAAGAAGAGAUAUAAGCUCAUCCAAGAUCAACUGCAGAGGAGGACGAGGGAAAUUUUAUAUGGGAACAAUUAUCUGAAAAAUAGUCAUUCAUCGAUUCAAGCUCUGACAUCUUUCGGUUCUGCCAUUCCCCCAGAGAAUGUCCUCAUUUGUAUGGUCAAGGCUGGGUUGCAGAGAAGUCCAUGUUGCAGCUCAUGGAAAAAAAGAACCAAAGGGACUCAAGAACACUGGCUUAUGUCUUAGAUUGGAGAUGACCUGGAAAGUCAACUUUCACCCAUAACCCAUUGGCCUAAAGUAAGUCCCAGAGUCAACUUGAAUUGCAAGGGAUCCGGAGUAAUGCUGUUUAUACCUGGAGUGCUGGGGACCCAGCUUAAACUCUACCACCAUAGAAGACAGGGAAGAUAGAUUUUGAUGGAUGACCAGAAGUUUCUGUUACAUGUACAACAGAUUAAAAAUAUAUAUAUUGCCAGCUGGGUGUGGUGGCUCAUGCCUGUAAUCCCAGAACUUUGGGAGUCCAA